rnacentral:rRNA from 1 species
GAUGAACGCUGGCGGCGUGCCUAAUACAUGCAAGUCGAGCGAACAGACGAGGAGCUUGCUCCUCUGACGUUAGCGGCGGACGGGUGAGUAACACGUGGAUAACCUACCUAUAAGACUGGGAUAACUUCGGGAAACCGGAGCUAAUACCGGAUAAUAUAUUGAACCGCAUGGUUCAAUAGUGAAAGACGGUUUUGCUGUCACUUAUAGAUGGAUCCGCGCCGCAUUAGCUAGUUAGUAAGGUAACGGCUUACCAAGGCGACGAUGCGUAGCCGACCUGAGAGGGUGAUCGGCCGCCCUGGAACUGGGACACGGUCCAGACUCCUACGGGAGGCAGCAGUAGGGAAUCUUCCGCAAUGGGCGAAAGCCUGACGGAGCAACGCCGCGUGAGUGAUGAAAGUCUUCGGAUCGUAAAACUCUGUUAUUAGGGAAGAACAAAUGUGUAAGUAACUAUGCACGUCUUGACGGUACCUAAUCAGAAAGCCACGGCUAACUACGUG